UCCAGAAAUGUUAGUUUUAAAUUAUAAUAUCAAUAUAGUGAACAGUCAUAGCAUAAAGGUCCAAAUGAUGUGAUCAACUCAAUAGAUUCAGAACAAUAAUUGAUAACAUAUAGUGAUAUUGGAUUAGCUAUCAUUACUCCAAGACACCAUCUUACAAUAGAUCUUAUCUAGUACAAUAAAUUAAAAGAAAACAAGAAUUUAAGUAUAAAGAAAAGUUAUUCAAACAUAACAUAACAUAAUCUUGCACUUAAAAAAAUCUGUGUCAUCAGCAAUUUUUUACACUUCAUGAAUUAUUUUACUAAGUUUUUGCAUGUAUUACAUGAAUUAUAUUUCUGUAUAUAUUAGUUAGAAAAAAAUUUACUCUACCUGUUAUUAAGCUUUUUAUAAGGCUAUAAUUAUUGCAAUAAUGUAGUGUUAUCACAGGAAUGGAUCCAUAGAUCCAUGUAAUAGAAUAAUACCCACAAAUGUCAAACUCUGCAAAUGAGUCUACUGGAUUUAUGGUAAAGAAGGAAAUAUAGAGCAGUGGGAGCAAAGAUCUUUUAACAGAUGUUUCUGGGUCAGAUAGAUAAUUAUAAAGACAAAAACAGAUACUUGACCUCUACAUGAUACCACCCAGUAUCAUCCCAGGUGAUAGAAAAUUAGACUGCUUUGAAAAUAAUAUACCAUAGUGUCUAUAAAUGUGAAAGCACUUAACAGUGAAGAAAAGAUUUAUAUAACAGAGUGCUUUAAAACUGACAGCAUCUAUUCCUCAAAAGAAUGGAGUGGGAACUUACAACAUAUCAUCCAAAAGUGUGUGUUGAGAAUGUAUGAAGAACAGGGGGUGAUGGUAUGUUAUUUUAAUACCAAUACUUGGGAGGCAGAGACAGGUGGAUUUCUGUGAGCUCAAGGCCAGCCAGGGCUACACAGUGAGACCUUUUCUAUAAAUAAAUACAUACAUACAUACAUACAUACAUACAUAAAUAAAUAAGUAAACAAAUGGAUAUGUUAUGGGUGACAUGAAAAGCAUAAAACAAAAAAAUGAAAUAAACGUAAGAUGAAGAAAAAGAAAUAGAAAAGAUAAAAACAUAAAAUGAGGAAAAAGCUCAAAUAUGCAAUAGAAGUAAGUAACUAUUUUAGUUUUCAAAAUUUUAAGAAAGUCAAAGGAUUUUAGCUUCAGUGAUAAAUAAUGAACAAUAUGUGUUUUAAUAAUAAGGUUGACAUAACUAUUAGAAUCUGUAAAAAGAGAAUAAUGAUCAACGAUUUUGCGCCAAUAUAUUGAAAAUAUAGACACAAUGAAUAAUUCAUUGGAAAAAUGAUUUACCAAAACUAACUCAAGAAGAAAUAGAAAUCCGGAGUAGUCUUGCAAUCACUGUCAUCACAAAGAAAGCAUUAGAUGCUGAGGGUUUUAGAAGGAAAUUCUACCAAGAACUUAAGAAGCAGGAUAGUAAAACCAUUCUAACAAUUUUCUUGAGGAUAGAGAAAUAGAAAAUAAUCCAAACUCAUGUUAUCAGGGUAGUUUGAUCCUGAAAAUAAAACCAUAAAUAGACAUUAUGGUAGAUAAGAUAGAGAUGUGAAUUGUUUGAUGUUAUUUGCAAGAGGAGAUGAAUUUUGUUUCCUCUGCAGUUUUCAUUGCCAUUCAAGGCUUUUAUUUAUUUAUUUGUUUGUUUAUUUACCAUUAAAGUGUGAUGGCAGUGGUGCUACGACAGUUCUGGAACUGGCUUUAAAAGGAAGGAUGGGUAUGCAUUGGUUUCUUAGAUGCUGGAGUUAUUUUGUGAGAAAUCAGACUUCCCUAUUGUGCAGUGCAAAGCCCUGAGACUGUAUGGAGAUGAGGGGCCCAAAUGAGCCUAACAUUCCAGCCUUCCCGCCAAGACAUAUUUGUUUGAAUUUGUCUUGGACUUCAGCCCAGUCCAUUCACUAGCUGAAUGCUACUCCUUGAUCUCAGUUAAUACCACACAGAACUGAAAACUUUCCCAGGGAAACGCUACUCAAAAGUCCAACUCCCAGAAAACAGGGAGGCAUGAUAAAAAGAUUGUUGCUUUAAGUCUCUGUAUUUUAAAGUACUUGGUUAUGCAGCAGUUAAAAACUGAGACAGUUUGUGCAGCAGAGAGAACUCACUCUCCAAUGCCAGGUGUGAACAUAGAUGCAAAAUAGAUUGAGUGACACUGGCAAAAGCCAAAUCCAGUGAAACACAGGAACACCCACACACACCCCCACACAACUGAAUGCACACAUGCAUGCAUACAUACACAGAAGCCACAUUCUAGCUGUCAUGAAUUUUCUACUCUUUGGAAUAAGAUUUCUAGAAAUCUUAUUUCUGCAUGCUUUUGUAAAGUAAUAAAUGCCUUGCCAUUACUAUACAAAUGAUAAAUGGCUUAUUUAUCAUGGCGCUGCUGCUGACUUACUUCUUCUGCAUUUAUUAUUCCUUGGUUAUCUAUGUUACAAGUAUUGUAUUUUAUACAUUUUGAAGAGCACUCUAUUCUGCAUCAUUGAUCAAUAUGUCUUAUUCUUUCAUAAUAACACAGUUGUCAUCUUCUCCAUUAAGAGACUCAAGAUGGAGCUGGGAAGAUGGAUCAGGAGAUAAAGCACUUACUCUACAAUCAUGAAGACAGGGAUUGGAUCCCAGCACCCAUGUAAGUAUUGGACAGGCGUUUCAGCCGGACUGCAAUACCAGUAUUCUCUCAGAAGGAGACAUGACAAAGGUCGAUAGCUAAGCUAGCGCGUCAGUGAGCUCUGCACUCCAGUGAGAAACCCUGCCUAUUCUACAAGGCCAAGUUUCCCGAAAAUAGAAUUGACAGCAAUGUUUGCUAGUCUCUGGGAUGUUAUUGGAGAUGAAUUACGGAACGCAAAGAAAUGGACUUUGGUUGUAGUCACAGAAGGGAAUGAAAGGAAAAGGUAAAGCGAUGGCAUCUUCUCUAUGUUCCACACACUGUACUGAUCUCAUUACAUGUAUGGAGUCAUGGAAUUAGCAUGCUGGAAUGGACUUUAGGCCAACUAUCAAAUUGUUCAUUUCACAGACAUGGCAAAGCUCCCAGGAUAUCAGGUCACUCACCAGGUUCCGAUGUGGCAAAAGGCACAAAAACCUAGAUAACCAGAUUCCUAGCCCACUGCCUUUUCCCGGAAUGGUUUCUUAUUCUGGCAUUUCAGAAAUAGAAGAGAGAAUUUAGUAUCCCAGACCUGAGUACAUGAUCGGCCACACUCUAUCACCAAACUGUCCUAGUGUUGACAAAAGAACUGUUUGUUCUAGUGGAGUCUUCUGCAUGCAGUCACAGCUGUUGUGAGCUCAUGUCUGCAGUAGGCCUGCCAUGUCUAACCAUCAGCAUGGACGGGGAGGGGUUCACGAAGUCCCACCCCUAGCUGAGAAGCUAUUGGCAAUUGAUGGCUUCUUGGGGAAGGACAGUCAAGGAUGCAGCUCCACAAACCAGUAGAUGGAUUGUCACCCACGAAUACACAGGUAGCAUUAAGUAGACUCAGUGGGUUUUAAGAAAAGAGAACACAGGAAGUUGGGAGGGGAAGGUGGUUGUGGGGGGACAGAGGAGGAAUGUGAGGAGAGGGAACGGGGUGUAUAUACAUCUGUGCAUGAAAUUCUCAAUUAUAAAAACAAGAACAGUGUUAAGUUUGCUUAUGAGAUCAUUGCUUAGCGUGACCUUCCUAGUAUACUUAUCUGUGGAUUAUGUGGUCUGCUAUGAAAUCAUGAACCAUGACUUAGUCUAGGUGUUAUUCAUAAUUCUGAAUAUCAUUAAAUUAUUCUAAUCUAUGGAAGAAAGAGAAAAAUCUCUAUGAAUCCUGGGCUAGACAACUAUUUUUUAAAUAAAAAUUCAUUUAUGUAAAUUUAUAAAAUGAAAUAUUCUUAAAUACUUUGAUGAAAACAACGUCUAUAAUGGUAUCAUUUCAAAGCCUGUCUCUAAAAUUUGGUUUAAACCUAAGUUAUGCCCAAUUAGUUAGAAUAAUUAAUAUUUGCUUUUAUAGUCUAACAUAAGGCUGAAUAAAACACUUAAUCUGAUUUAAUGUUCUACAGCCUUGAAGUGUUUUUGAACAAGCUUUGCCUCAGGUACUAUUAGGCUUCCUUUACUCAUAAAAUCCUGGUUUCAUUUUGAUUGUGAGAAUCACACAGAAAUAAAAUAUUUUUCCUGGCUUAUAA